rnacentral:rRNA from 1 species
ACUCGGCUAUCAACACGGUCGCCCGUAAACUGGGGCUUAACACGGCCAAAGUAAUAAAACGCUUCGGCGUGGACCUAAUCUUCCGGGACCACACGAAUGAGAUCAAGCAUAAGCUCAAUUUCCCGCGAUCCCUACCUAAUAAGCGCAUGAACUUCGCCUUGAGUCCGCCUUCGGACCCUAGAGUUCUAUUUGAUACAAGCUGCGCUCGCAUUCAGUGUUGAACGACCUGUGUCAAGUAUGCAGCUCCUACGAACAGGUGGAGAUGCACCACAUAAAAAGACUAAGCCGCGAUAACGCGGUUUCACUAGGUUGAUGGUCUAAUUGAAUCGUAAACAACUCCCGGUCUGCCGUAACUGUCAUAGGAAGAUUCAUAGAGGGGAAUACAACGGAAUGAGGCUGGAACGAUUACUCGCAAGGAACAAAAGACAUCUUGAUUAGUUAGUGACAGGGAGAGCCAUAUGCCGGGAAACUGGCACGUAUGGUUCGGAGGGAGGUAUAUGUCUUCCACAUGGGAGAUGGGUACCGACCCUACCAAAGGAAUUGACGGGGGCCUGCACAAGCGGUGGAGCAUGUGGUUUAAUUCGAUUCAACGCGCAAAACCUUACCAGCCCUUGACAUAUGAAUAAGUGUGCUUGUCCUUAACGGGAUGGUACGAAAAUUCAUACAGGUGUUGCAUGGCUGUCGUCAGCUCGUGUCUUGAGACGUUGGGUUAAGUCCUAUAACGAGCGCAACCCUCGUUUUGUGUUGCUAAGACAUGCUUUGGUUCAAUCCUUGACCACUGGAGACUGACGAAGACUACGCCGUGAAAAUGGAGGAUACCGACGAGCUAAGUUUUUGCAAACGCCGUGUGGCUCAUUCUGAAAAGAAUAUGACCAUACAAAGUUUUUCAUAGAGUACUCUCCGAAGAGUACAUUGACACUGAGUUCCUCAGUCUUAGUCAAAAUGAUUGACACUCCAAGCCAUGUGCUGCACUCACAAAAAACUGCCAGUGAUAUACUGGAGGAAGGUGGGGAUGACGUCAAGUCCGCAUGGCCCUUAUGGGCUGGGCUACACACGUGCUACAAUGGCAAUUACAAUUGGAAGCAAUGCUGUAAGGCGGAGCGAAUCCAGAAAGAUUGCCUAAGUUCGGAUUGUUCUCUGCAACUCGAGAACAUGAAGUUGGAAUCGCUAGUAAUCGCGGAUCAGCAUGCCGCGGUGAAUAAGUACUCGGGCCCUGUACAAACUGCCCGUCAAACCAUGGGAAUUGGUUUCGCCCGAAGCAGCCGACCAAAGAUCACCCAUUACUCGAGGUGUUCCACGCCGUUGUUGAGUGUGGUCUACUAGAGUCAUUGGUGAUCUUAUGUAGGAGACCAAGGUUGGGCCAUUGACUGAGGUUAAGUCGUAACAAGGUAGCCGCAGGGGAACCUGUGGCUG